rnacentral:tRNA from 1 species
UGGGAUAUGGCCAAGCGGAUAAGGCACCGGCCUUUGACGCCGGCACCGUUGGUUCGAAUCCAACUAUCCCAACCA